rnacentral:rRNA from 1 species
CAAUAGCGUAUAUUAAAGCUGUUGCGGUUAAAAAGCUCGUAGUUGGAUUUCUGUCAAGGACAACUGGUCCGCCCCUCGGGUGAGCACAUAGUUUGGUCUUGGCAUCUUGUUGGAAACUGUUGCUGCACUUGGUUGUGUGGCGCAGUGUCCAGCACUUUCACUUUGAGGAAGUUGGAGUGUUUCAAGCAGGCACAUGCCUUUGGACACAGUAGCAUGGAAUAAUUAGAUUGGGCUUUUGCUCCAACUUGUCGGUUUCUGGAGCUGAGGUGAGAAUUAAUGGGGAUUGUUGGGGGCAUCCGAAUUUAGCCGUCAGAGGUGAAAUUCUUGGAUCUGCUAAAGACGGACAACUGCGAAAGCGUUUGCCCAGGAUGUUUUCAUUGA